rnacentral:rRNA from 1 species
ACACGGGGGGCGCAAGCGUUAUUCGGAAUUAUUGGGCGUAAAGGGCGUGUAGGCGGUUUUAUCGGUCAGAUGUGAAAGCCCAGGGCUCAACCCUGGACGUGCAUUUGAAACAGUCAGACUUGAGUACGGUAGAGGAAAGCGGAAUUCCUGGUGUAGAGGUGAAAUUCGUAGAUAUCAGGAGGAACACCGAUGGCGAAGGCAGCUUUCUGGACCGAAACUGACGCUGAUGCGCGAAGGCGGGGGUAGCGAACAGGAUUAGAAACCCCAGUAGUCC